rnacentral:lncRNA from 1 species
GGAUACGAUCUUUUCUCUUUCCUUAUUGGGUUGAGAACUUUCAGCUUUUCACUUAAAGGAAGCAAUAUAUUGCUUCUCUAUGGCAUAUCUGAUUGACCAGCAUCAUUACUCCCAUGCUUUGGGGCCAUUAUGGAGUAAAAUAGGGGUGACUUGAACACAGGCACUGGGGUAACGCGAGAAGUUCAUCUGGUCACCAAAUCAGCUUCUAAGUGGCUCGCGGGCAGGGAGCAGCAACAGCAUGAAAACACUGGACAAAGGGAGGAGGUCACAAUGUGACCAUGUGAGAAUACAGAUUUCAUCACGCUACUCAAAACAGUGUGCAAUUUAAAACUUAGGAAUUAUGUAUUUCUGGAAUUUUCCAUUGAGUAUUUUCUAACUGCGGUUGACUGCGGAUAACCGAAACCACGGAAAGCGAAGCCAUGAAGAAGGAGGGACUCCUGUUCUGCUGCUGUUCCCUUAUUUGAGACCUAUCCUGUCUGGUCUAAUGAAGCUAGAAGUGUCUAAGCUGCUGUAACACAGCUUAGAGAAGAAGGCUCCAUUGGCUUUGCCCCUGCGUCAUACUGGGCUUCUAUUACAGUAUGAAAGGAGUGUGUUCUCUGUCUCUCUAGGCUCCAGGAGCACUGUGUGUUCCAUCUGGAACUCUAACCGUCCAAACACACCCCUCUCACUCCUUUGUCUGGUAAGUUCCUAUUGCAGAUCUCUGUCUCUGGGAGACUUCCAACUGGGAAUCUCCCGCUGAGGCCACACCUCUAGAUUAGGUUAGUGGCCCCUGAUCCACGCCGCUCCAGCAUUCUGCCAUGAGAAACCUCACUCUGCUGCAGCUUUAUCUUCUAAAUGACGUGCUGAGAACACCCACGAAACUGCAAUACCGGCUAAUCAGCCCCAGCUUCUUCAGAAAGGCUUCUGCUUGUGACUCCAUGAUCUGUAGCUUAUACACUUCACUCUCCUUCCAGUUUUCAAGUACGGAUACCUGCCAGUAGAUCAGAAGACAUAUGAGUAUUUUACAAAUGACAGCCUGAAACUAUUUUAAAGGUUAAAACUUAAACAUUCAAACCACUUUCCCAUUUCUCCUUAAAUGAAGCAUGACAGAAUCAUCAGAACUUGAUUGUAUCAUAGGUGAACAUGAAUUAGACUUUGAGAUUUGAAAACAGAACAAAAUGACAUCACAAAUGCAUACCUUCCAUGAUCCUUUUUGCAGAUAUGAAUAACUGUACAUGGCUUUCUGCUUAAGCUAUAUAUAAGCACAGAGCCAGGUUAACUGCAUGUGUACACGAGUGUGCAUUACCUAUGGUCCUGCAGCAGAAUAACCCUUAAUAAAGGCUGCAUCCUCUGCAAGUUUAGAAAAGCCUCAGAGAAGCUGUUCUCGGCAAGGGCAUCAAAAGCUUCGGGGUAUGCUUUUAAGAUUUUAGACUCUCUGUGGCUUCCCCACAAACCAACUGGCCAUUUUUGUGAGAAUCACUGCAGGAAAUGUAAAAUGGCCUCAUGGUCCAAAUGAUCCAUUAAAUAGCCUUUUAAUCCAGGUGUCAGUAAACUUGACAGGGCCCACCAGGCAAACCUGCUUACCAAACGGUGGUGUGAAUUAAACAAGCUCAGGAAUACGGAUGCUGGUGUAGGACCCAAAAAGUAUUCAUACUUUGGCUCUUUUUCCUUUCCUGUCCUUAGAAGCAGGUGCAUAGUCAAUUCUUAAUUGAAAAGCCUAAUGUUUGCAGACUGUAUAAACUAAGUCUUUUCUUACUUUACCAGAAUAAUCACAGACACAUAUGCCAAUAAAUAUCAUUUGUUUCUCAGCUACAGAAACAUAGAGAAUCAUGUUUCUGGAACUAAAUAAAAUACAGCCAGAUGUCAUAAUUUUG